CGUAGGUGGCAAGCGUUGUCCGGAUUUAUUGGGUUUAAAGGGUGCGUAGGCGGUCUUGUAAGUCAGUGGUGAAAUACGGCAGCUUAACUGUCGAGGUGCCAUUGAUACUGCAGGACUUGAGUACAGACGAGGUAGGCGGAAUUGACGGUGUAGUGGUGAAAUGCUUAGAUAUCGUCAAGAACACCGAUAGCGAAGGCAGCUUACUAGACUGUAACUGACGCUGAUGCACGAAAGUGUGGGGAUCAAACAGGAUUAGAUACCCUGGUAGUCCACACUGUAAACGAUGAUUACUCGAUGUUGGCGAUACACAGCCAGCGUCUUAGCGAAAGCGAUAAGUAAUCCACCUGGGGAGUACGCCGGCAACGGUG
rnacentral:rRNA from 1 species